GCCCUUUUAAUGAAGAUUGCAGUCUUUCAGUUUGAGAACAUGAUUUAUUAAUUUCACUCUUUCUCUAAGAUCCAGCACAUCCUCCUCAUUCAGAUCUUCCUC